rnacentral:misc_RNA from 1 species
GGAAGUAAAAGUUAACAAGGUUUCCGUAGGUGAACCUGCGGAAGGAUCAUUAUUGAAUGAAACACUUCUGGCUUUAUGCUGUUGUGCUGGCCCUUUGGGCAAUGUGCACACGGCUCUGGUCACUUGUUUCUUCUGUUCCACCUGUGCACUGCCUGUAGACACGCUGUGUCUAUGAUAUUUGUUAACACACAACAAUGUUAGUUGGCAUGUUAUAUAUAAUAAUAAAAUAUACAACUUUCAACAACGGAUCUCUUGGCUCUC